UGGGGAAUUUUCCGCAAUGGGCGAAAGCCUGACGGAGCAAUGCCGCGUGUGUGAUGAAGGGUUUCGGCUCGUAAAACACUGUUGUAAGAGAAGAAUGACAUUGAGAGUAACUGUUCAAUGUGUGACGGUAUCUUACCAGAAAGGAACGGCUAAAUACGUGCCAG
rnacentral:rRNA from 1 species